rnacentral:rRNA from 1 species
GAUGAACGCUGGCGGCGUGCCUAAUACAUGCAAGUCGAGCGAACGGACGAGAAGCUUGCUUUUCUGAUGUUAGCGGCGGACGGGUGAGUAACACGUGGAUAACCUACCUAUAAGACUGGGAUAACUUCGGGAAACCGGAGCUAAUACCGGAUAAUAUUUUGAACCGCAUGGUUCAAAAGUGAAAGACGGUCUUGCUGUCACUUAUAGAUGGAUCCGCGCUGCAUUAGCUAGUUGGUAAGGUAACGGCUUACCAAGGCAACGAUGCAUAGCCGACCUGAGAGGGUGAUCGGCCACACUGGAACUGAGACACGGUCCAGACUCCUACGGGAGGCAGCAGUAGGGAAUCUUCCGCAAUGGGCGAGAGCCUGACGGAGCAACGCCGCGUGAGUGAUGAAGGUCUUCGGAUCGUAAAACUCUGUUAUUAGGGAAGAACAUAUGUGUAAGUAACUGUGCACAUCUUGACGGUACCUAAUCAGAAAGCCACGGCUAACUACGUG